rnacentral:rRNA from 1 species
GCUAAGACUGGAUAGGAAGAUAAAAGGCAUCUUUUAUCUUUUAAAAGACCUAGUAAUAGGUAUGCUUUAGGAGGGGCUUGCGCCAUAUUAGUUAGUUGGUAGGGUAAUGGCCUACCAAGACGAUGAUGUGUAGCUGGACUGAGAGGUUGAACAGCCACAUUGGGACUGAGACACGGCCCAAACUCCUACGGGAGGCAGCAGUAGGGAAUUUUCGGCCAAGGAGGAAACUCUGACCGAGCAACGCCGCGUGAAUGACGAAGUACUUCGGUAUGUAAAGUUCUUUUAUCAAGGAAGAAAAGCAAAUGGCGAACCAUUUGUUUGCCGGUACUUGAUGAAUAAGCCCCGGCUAAUUAUGUGCCAGCAGCCGCGGUAAGACAUAAGGGGCAAGUGUUAUCCGGAAUUAUUGGGCGUAAAGGGUGCGUAGGCGGUCUAGUAAGUCAGUGGUGUAAUGGCAACGCUUAACGUUGUCCGGCUAUUGAAACUGCUAAACUUGAGUUAGAUAGAGGCGAGUGGAAUUCCAUGUGUAGCGGUAAAAUGCGUAAAUAUAUGGAGGAACACCAGAGGCGUAGGCGGCUCGCUGGGUCUUAACUGACGCUGAGGCACGAAAGCGUGGGGAGCAAACAGGAUUAGAUACCCUGGUAGUCCACGCCGUAAACGAUGAGUACUAAGUGUCGGGUUAAACCGGUACUGAAGUUAACACAUUAAGUACUCCGCCUGAGUAGUACGUACGCAAGUAUGAAACUUAAAGGAAUUGACGGGACUCCGCACAAGCGGUGGAUCAUGUUGUUUAAUUCGAAGAUACCCGAAAAACCUUACCAGGUCUUGACAUGUUUUUGCAAAAUGAUAGUAAUAUCGUGGAGGUUACCAGAAACACAGGUGGUGCAUGGUUGUCGUCAGCUCGUGUCGUGAGAUGUUUAGGUUAAGUCCUAAAACGAGCGAAACCCUUAUCGUUAGUUGCCAGCACGUUAUGGGUGGGGGACUUUAACGAGACUGCCAAUGAUAAAUUGGAAGAAGGUGAGGAUCACGUCAAAUCAGCAUGCCCCUAAUGACCUGGGCUACAAACGUGAUACAAUGGCUGUUACAAAGAGUAGCUGAAACGCAAGUUCUUGGCCAAUCCCCAAAAACAGUCCCAGUCCGGAUUGAAGUCUGCAACUCGACUUCAUGAAGUUGGAAUCGCUAGUAAUCGCGAAUCAGCAUGUCGCGGUGAAUACGUUCUCGGGGUUUGUACACACCGCCCGUCA